AAGUUGGAGGAUGAAGAGAUCACCUCCUACAUCCUUGCCGUGCUUGACACUGACUACAACCCAGUCGUGUCAGCCAUGACAGCUCGCGUUGAACCUCUUACCCUCGGCGAGCUCUUCACCCAGCUAGUGAGCUGGGAAC